rnacentral:rRNA from 1 species
CCUACGGGAGGCAGCAGUGGGGAAUAUUGCACAAUGGGGGAAACCCUGAUGCAGCGACGCCGCGUGAGUGAAGAAGUAUUUCGGUAUGUAAAGCUCUAUCAGCAGGGAAGAAAAUGACGGUACCUGACUAAGAAGCCCCCGCUAACUACGUGCCAGCAGCCGCGGUAAUACGGAGGGGGCAGGCGUUAUCCGGAUUUACUGGUUUUAAAGGGAGCGUAGGUGGAAUGGUAAGUCAGUAGUGAAAGCUUGUGGCUUAACCGUGGAACUGGAGUGGAAACUGGCCGGCUUGAGUGCAGGAGAGGUGAGCGGAAUUCCUGGUGUAGCGGUGAAAUGCGUAGAUAUCAGGAAGAACACCAGUGGCGAAGGCAGCUCACUGGACUGUAACUGACGCUGAGGCUCGAAAGUGUGGGGAGCAAACAGGAUUAGAUACCCGAGUAGUC